rnacentral:rRNA from 1 species
UACAGAGGGGGCAAGCGUUAUUCGGAAUUAUUGGGCGUAAAGGGCUCGUAGGCGGCCAACUAAGUCGGACGUGAAAUCCCCUCAGCUUAACUGGGGAACUGCGUCCGAUACUGGAUGGCUUGGAUUCGGGAGAGGAAUGCGGAAUUCCAGGUGUAGCGGUGAAAUGCGUAGAUAUCUGGAGGAACACCGGUGGCGAAGGCGGCAUUCUGGACCGACAUUGACGCUGAGGAGCGAAAGCCAGGGGAGCAAACGGG